rnacentral:lncRNA from 1 species
GCAGCAGUUACAUCAUGUGAUACCACCUUUACUUAUAGAUGUAUAUUAUAAAUAGCUUAUUACCACCAAUAAUAUGAGCAAAAGAUGAAAAGAAUGAAGCAUUCCAUUGGACGCUAAAAUAAGCACCUUGAGUAAUAGUGGCACACUUAAUAUUUUCAUUGUACCUGCCACUGCAAUUGAACUAUAUAAAUAUACAAAAUUUUGAAGGCUGAAAAUGAGUGGUGAACCCACAUUAAUUAAAACGAUAAAGCAAAUAGAAAGAGAUUCAAUAGUACAUAACAAAUAACAAUGAACAGAAACAUACUUUAAAGUAACUUCUGCAUUUCCAGUUUUACCCGUGUAACUGUAUAAGAGGAAAAUCACGCCUGACGAAAAAACAACACAUUCAAACAGGUAUAACACCAAAAAAAUCCCAAUUAUAUCAUUCGGAAAUAAAGAACAACACAGGUAAGUGCAAAUUGCAAAGCUAAGCAAGAGACAAAUUAAAUUCUCGAAAAUAGCAUAUCAAGCCCUUGCUCCUCUUUCUAUAUGUAUGAAUAGAAAUAUAUAAAAUCAAAAACAGCGUAAAGAAUGGAGUAAUCUUUCCCCGGUAAAUAAUGUUAUUCCUUUGCUUGAGUUUAGCUCUCUUACCCAGACUUGACAGGCUACAUUUUGGUUUCUAGCUCCCUGGACUUAGUAUAGAACAUAUUGUUAUGAAGCUAACACCUCUCUUUAAGUACUCGUAGUAUCUUCUUGAUGCCAGCAAGGUAACAUCUUACUUUAUCAGUUAAAAAGGAGCAUCCUUUUACUAAUUAUUUUUUCUUUCAAUCUUUUUCUCUUUACAUAAAUCCCACUCUCAAGACAAAUAUGGUAAAAGCCAAAUGGAAAGGAAGAAAGAAGAGAAAAAGCUUGGACUCAUACUCUGCCAAAAAUUGAUGUAAAAAGGAAAAGAAGAAAAGAACAAAUCAAGAAAGCCAAUCAUAUGUAGAUCAUAAUUUUUCAACAGCCGAAAAACAAUCGACAAUGAACGAACAACACAUGUAAUACAAACCGCCAAGUUAUAACCCUGAAAAAUUCAGAUAUAUCAGUGCUGUAACAGUAGCUAAAAGGCAGGCAGGAAAAAGGAAAAAGAUUUGGUACAUAAUUAAUUCCGAUGUAGGAUAGAAGAAACCCAAGCAUAAUAAAUUGAAUUAUAGUUCCCGGGCUCUUUUUAAUCCUCAUUCAAAACCACCAAAACUUUUCAGGUCCUCCAUAUUUGUCAGAGUAGGGAAAGCAAAAACAAUCCAUAAAGACCAAAGUACAAUGUGGAGACACCAAUACGAUCGGACAGAAAAUGUAGAACCCGCAAUAGCACCAAAUCACAACAUAUAAACCCAAAAUUGAACAAAUCAAACCAACAUUUCAAACAAAACAAUAACGUAGGAAAGACUAUGAGAAGUCCAAUAACAACAGAAAGUUGUUUUAAGCACAAAAAGAUCUCUCUUUUGAAAUAAUAUAAUGAUUGAUACUCACUUCAAUAUGUUGAGAUUUCAAACUGGGUUUGUUGUUGUUGCUGUAUUGAUACUCGCUUCAAUCAACUAUUCUCUAUUUGGGCACAUUUCACAUUCGAGUUUCAGAUUCUCUCAAAUUGUUCUAAAAAUAAAUAACAAUAAAAUUUAGUAGAAACAGUAAGGACAAUUUAGAAACUAAAAGAAAUAUUACCUGCAAAGUGCAAAGUCGUGAACUUUUCUCGGACUCCGAUUCCGAGUCUGAAUGGAAAGAUUGCUACCAGUUGCUCCAACUUGCCUUGUUGAGUUUGCCGUCUUCUAUUUGGGGGAGCAUAGUGUGGUGAAGAAAAGAGAGAUCCAAGGACGACUAUUUUAUUGGGAUUUGAGGUAAAAAAAAAUUUGAACAUAUAAAAAUGACAAGCAGAAAGUUUCAUCUUUACAGUGCAUUCAGAAACAUAUUGGAGGCAGAGAAAUG